CCUGGGAGAGAAGAGCUCGGUGAGACAGGGCGAGAGAGGAGAGAAGAAUGGAGGCAGCCAGAGCAGCUGAAGGCAGAAACCUCACCUCGCUAAUGAAGCCCAGCUGCACCAGCUCAGCUGCCAACUCAGGGAUGUUCUCAUCUGACAGAGAAACGGGAGAGGGUUUCUCACGGAUGAGGCUCACAGACUCUCAUCGUCUGAAGGAAAGAAGACACUCACUUGGCAUCAGGUCACAGCUCAGGUGCCGGUUGAGUUUGUCCUCCAGCUUCAGAAGAAGCGUCAGCUGAAAAACAGGACAGUCAAAAAAUGAGGCUCCUUUUCACCUCCUGCCCACCCAGCCCUAUGCAGCCCUGGCCCUGAGCCUUACAUGGUGUUUGACUCCCUCCUCCACUGACUCGAUGUUGCACUGCAUCAGCACCACCUAGAGAGAGGGCACAGAGAGGGUCCCUAUAGUGGACACCAGUCAAUAAAAAGCCCCCAACAGCUGGAAGGCUUUCCAGUCCACAGGACAAGCCUGCUAAGACAGAAACACCUUUUCUCUAAAGGACAAAGCCUUAUCUGACAUGUCCUCUCUCCCUUCUACCAUGACCAUGGAGACAUCCACACCCACAAAGCCCCACCUUGCGGGUCUCCACCUCAGCUGGUUCAGGUGUUGGAGUCUUGACAGAGGGGGGCACAACAGGUGAUGUCACCUCCUCCUGCUGUGGCUGCUGGGGCCUAGGUAGCCCAAAGGCUGUCAGAGGGUAGAUCCCAUUCCUGGAGGGAGAUCAGACAGGUCACAUGGGCUCUGUGAAUGCCCCAGGACAGCCACCCCCCGCUUCCUCAAGCAAGCCUUUCCUCUCACCUGACAUCUUCAAGGAAUUUAUCCAAUUCCAGAGCUGGUGACUGAGAGUACCUGCAAGAGAAAAGAGAGAAAGCAGAUGAAAGGAAGGAAAUAAGCAAAAUAGCAGAUUCAACAAUUACCAAAGAAUGGACAGUCGACAACCCUCAGGGUUGUAGUGACCAAUCUGUCCCUUUCAGACCCUCUCAGUUAGUUACUCACAAAGUCUGAACUGGUUCUCUUCCUGGUCCUGCAGGGAUUUCAGCCAGUACAGCACUGGUAUCCAUGUUUUUGGUGAUCUCCUCCAGAGCAUUCUCUGGGAUCAUGUCUGGAGGGCAUAAAGAAAUAGGAAGCUAUAGAAGGAUAGUCAGAUUAAUGUCAUAGAAAGGCACAGGGGUCCCGGGGGGAUAAAGAAUUCUUUUGGAAGUGGAAGAGAAAAGAGCAUGCUCAUGAUAGUUAUUAAGGCUCCAGAUGGGAAGAAAAUUCCUAGCAGGGCCAAGGGGACUCACGCUGGUGUCCCACAAUGCAGUGGGCAGCAAGGAGUUUGAGCGAGGGCACUUCAAACAGUGCUGGGUGGAACAGAAGUUCUCUGGCUGUUGGUCUGCGAGCAGGCUCAGAAUGCAGGCACUUUUGAAUGAACUCCUAGAAAAAGGAACAAGGAAGUAGAACAGACAUCUGGCAACCAGUCCACUGGGUUCAUCUUUAUCUCGCUCACUAUACUUAGCCCAGACUUUGUACAUACUAGGUGGUUUGCACGGACUAAGGGGGCAAACUAUUAAAUGUAUAUGAAAGGGCUUUGAAAACUCUAAGGUAUUAACAUGAAAGCUAUUGUUCACUGUUUUUUUGGUUUUAAUUAUUUUUCUGUUCCCCAACCGCAAACUUCUUUUACUACUCAAACUUAUGAAUUAUUUUCCCUUAUUUUCUACUUCUCUGCUUUAUUAGCCCACACACUCCUCAACUCUCACCAGUUACCUUCUCUGUUGUGAUCAACAAUAUUCACCAUCUUUUUAUUUCCCAGCCCUACAAUUUCCUUAUCUCCUAUAUUUAUUAAAUUCAUUAAUCAUUUAUUAAAUUCCUUUAUUUCCCAACCCUACAAUUUCCUUUGUCUCCUAUAAUCAUCUAUUAAAUUCACUGGUUUUCCCCAAGCCUCACCCCUCCUUCCCACCUCCUGUAGGUCCUAUGACAAUUAACCUGCUUUUCCUACUUAGCAACUUAAAAGCCAGCAAGGUCAUAUACCUAAUCUGUUACUCGAAUGCCCCAACCUAACGCUGAACUAGAAAUUCAAUCCACACUAGCCUCAGGACUUCACACUAGUCUUCCUGUCACACUAUCUAAUAAUUUACAAACUAUCCUUUGGACUUUCCUGUCCAACCUCUACUUACUAUACUCCAUCUACUGAUUCAUAACUUUAUACCCUUUAAACCUUAGCUUGUUUUUUUAGGGCACUUUCCCUAUCUAAAACUAUAUAAAUAUAAAACCCCAGAUAAUGGAUUUAAUUAAAACUGAUCAAUUUGUUUAAAAAUAUCAAGAUGGUUGUCUGAAGAACAUAUACCAAUUACCUGAGGUAACAUUAAGUUAGUUUACUGCUAGGCAGACACAACUAAAUUAACACAUGACCUUUACCACACAACCUUUACCCCCAGUGCUACCCAUCUUAAACCCCUAACCUGUGUGUGUGUGUAUACAAAAAACAAAGUAGGCACCACCUAGGGAAACAUUCACUGCUUUUGCCUGUCCUUUCUGCUUUCUGUUCUCUUGUUCUUAGGAAAAAAAAUAUUACCAGUAAAUAAAACGGAAUAAAAACGUAAA